UGCGGGAGACCUGGGUUCCAUCCCUGGGUUGGGAAGAUCCGCUGGAGAAGGGAAAGGCCCCAUUGCUCUGACCUGGAGAAUUCCAUCAACUGUAUAGUCCAUGGGGUAGCAAAGAGUCGGACACGAGUGUGCGACUUUCACUUUUAUAUUGUUUUAACACUUUCAUGCAAAAUUAUAUCUGAGAGCAUUUAACAGUUCUUGAAGACGAGCUCUGUCGCCCUGGCGGGCCGCCCUCCUGUCCCACGCGGCGGGGCAGCGCCUGCCUCAACCCAGGAGAGCGUUCGGGGAGCGCGCGGGCGGCUGGCCCCUGCCGCGCGGGCUGGCGGGCGGCGGCAACGGGCGGCUCCGCGGUGUGGGGACCACACACCGCCCGCCCGCGCCCGGCCCCUUGUCCUCGCGCGGCGAAGGCCCCGCGCGGCGGCGCUGGCGGCGGGACACGGUGGGCCCUGCGCGAAUUAUAGGCGUUCCUUCUGAGGCUCCAUGUUAAACCUCUCCUGGACGCGCCCUCCCGGCUCCCUGUCCCCGAAAGCCGCACUCCGGGGCCCCAAGGAGCCGCGCUACCGGCCCACACCCCGCGCUCCCGGUCCCUGGCCUCAGGCUGCGGCAUCUCCAGCCCCCAGCCGCCGCCGGGACCGCGCGCCCGCGCCGCGGUCUGGUUCCGGAGCGGGGGCAGCCUCGGAAGGGUUGAGGAGUCAAGAACUGAAAAUUAGAUGGUUUUUUGGAUUUGAGGAUGUGGAAGAUCCUAUGAUUCCUCAUGCAAUGUUAUUUUUAAAGUUCCUGGCCGGGAUGUCAUUCUGAGAGAACGCCUGUUCGCCUCAGCUGAACAUGGAUAGUUUCCCAUCCUUUCCUCUGGUCUGAGUUUUGAUUUGCUUCGGUGCUGGUUCUGACCUUUUGUCCUGCCUGUGAGAGCAGGGCUCCCAGCUCUUCGCGAUGUCCAUCUCCGGCUCUGUAUUGAGAUCCCUGCUCUGUUCCUGCUAGGUGGAGGUAGUGUCUGGGCUCUCCAAGCAGUCUCUGUUGACAGACCGUGGUGGGAGGGACCCCUCCUUACCGUGGUGGGAGUGGGAGUUCCAGCUCCCCAUUUUCUUAUUAAUAAGGUUUGAGAAAUGUUCAUUCAUCCAUAAUAUCAUGGGCCACUCACCAGGGGAUAUACCUUCAGUUGGCAAAUUUAAAAAAGACAUACUCUUUGCUCUCAAGCAGUUAAAAGGGUGUAAUAUCAGAAGUGGAAAUGUGCAUUUUUAUAAACAUUUAUAAAUGGUUGAAAUGUGUACUAAAAUUUUAUGCAUGAUUAUACUGCAAAACUGCAAAUAUGUUCCUUAAUGUUUAGUUAAAAAUCAGCUGGGGAGCUUAUAUCACAAAGGAAUAAAGGUAAAUAAAUCUGAUAGGGUAUAAUUUAA
rnacentral:lncRNA from 1 species